rnacentral:lncRNA from 1 species
CUUGUUCAAUUCUAUUGCUGAGACUUUCCAGUGCAUUUUGCAUUUCUCUAAGUGUGUCCUUCAUUUCCAGAAUUUGUGAUUGUCUUUUGUUUAUGUUAUCUAUUUCACUGGAGAUUUUUCCAUUCAUAUCCUGUAUCAUUGUUUUUAUUUCUUUAAGCUGAACUUCGUAUUUCUCUGGUGCCUCCUUGAUUAGCUUAAUAAUCGACCUUCUGAAUUCUUCUCCUGGCAAUUCAGAGAUUUUAUCUUUGCUGGUGAGCUAGUAUAAUCUUUUGGGGGUAUUAAAUAAUCUUGUUUUGUCAUAUUACCAGAAUUGUUUUUCUGGUUCCUUCUUUUUUGGGUAGACUAUGUCAGAGGAAAGAUCUGGGACUCAAGGGCUGCUGUUCAGAUUCUUUUGUCCCACGAAGUGCUCCCUUGAUUUGGUGCUUUCCCCCUUCUUCUAGGGAUGGGGCAUCCUGAGAGCCAAACUGCCAUUAUUGUUAUUUCUGUUCUGGAUUUAGCCACUCAGCGGAGCUACUGGGCUCCAGGCCGGUACUGGGGAAUAUCUGCAAAGAGUCCUGUGAUGUUAUCCGUCUUCAGGUCUUUCAGCCAUGGAUACAAGCACCUGCUCUGGUGGAGGUAGCAGGGAACUGAAGUAGACUCUGUGAGGGGUCCGUGGUUGUAUUUUUAAGUGCACUGAUUUUGUGUUGGCUGGCCUCCAGCCAAAAGGUAGCACUUUCAAAAGUGCAUCAGCUGCAGUAGUAUAGGGAGGAUACAAGCUUGCCCAAGUAUCAGGUGGUGGGCAGGGCUAUAGAGCUCCCAAGAGAUUAUGUCCUUUGUCUCCAGCUACCAGGGUGGGUGGAGAAAGAUCAUCACGUUGAGGCGGGGUUAGGCUGUCUGAGUUCAGACUCUCCUUGGGUGGAGCUUGCUGCAGCUGCUGUGGGGGAUGGAGUUGUGGUUUCCCAGGCCAGUGGAGUUAUGGUCCCAGAGGGAUUAUGGCUGCCACUGCUGCAUCACACAGGUUGCCAGGAAAGUGGGGGAAACCCGGCAACCACAGGCCUCACCCGUCUCCCAUGCAGCCCAAAAGUCCAGUCUCACUCCCACCAUGUCCCCGCAAACAGCACUGAAUUUAUUUCCAGGCAACCAGUGAGCAAGGCUGAGAACUUGUCCCAGGUUACGAGACUCCCAGGGGUGAGACAAAAUGUGCCAUGAGUGAUGGCCUUUGGUGAUCUACAGACAUCCCUGGCUCUAGCAAUCAUUUGUGUAGGGAGCUUGUAAAAGGCUUUGAAGCUAGAAGGCAAAGCCUGAACACUGAGGAUUCUUUUUCUUAAAUCAUUUUAUUCUAUGACUCGAAAAACAAAAUCCCGCUUGAGCAGAGAGCAACAGUCAAGGCUGCCAAACUCCACUUGUGGUAACUUUUUUUUUUUUUUAAACAGCAGUUAAAAAAAUAUGUGGACUGCAAAAUGUGUACAAGCCAAAGCACAAAAAGACAAUGGACAUGACAUUUAGGCAGGAGGUGGGGGAAAUGCAAAAGGGACUUCCUCUGGAGCAGUAACAAUUAGCCCCAUUAGCUUGUGCAUAACCCAUAAAUGUAAGGUACAGGGAAAUGGUGGGAGCGAAUCAUUGUGGUGCCCCUGGGAACAUCUCUCUAGGCUGGAACCAUCUCACUAACCGGAUGUAAAAAGAUCAUAUGGUGUGUGUCUUUCAGUGGCAAUUAACCUCAAUUAUUAUCCUAUAGUCCAUAAAAACAGCUGCAUGGAACAGGGUCUGUGAGGGAUCCGUAUCUAGGUCUGGAAUCUCCUCACAGUUCUCCAAGAGAGUGACUAUGUUUGGGGCAUUUUCAGACAUGCUAUAAAUCCUAACUGGCAUUGUUUGCUCCCAGCGAUAAAAGAAAGGGUAGCAGGUGUGCCUCCCAACCAACCCUUUAUUGCCUGGGCAUGUGACAGCAUUUUGCGGCACCUCAGUAAUGAGCCAGAGAAGAAGGAAAGGCAGAUGAAUUUGCCAGCAUUAUUGCAGGUAUCUUGAAGGAGAGUUGAGCCCAGCUUUUCAAUUCAUACAGAUCCUUUCUCUGAAGAACCCCUUCCUGAUAUUGUCACUUUAACACAUCUCUGUGGUUUUAUUUUGAAAUUUUUAAAGGUACAGUCAUGUGCCGCAUAAUGACAUUCAGUCAAUGACAGACUGCAUAUAUGAGGUGGUCCUGUAAGGUGAUAAUGGAGCUGAAAAAUUCCUACUACUGAACGACAUCAUAGCCAUUGUAACAUCAUAGCACAACCAAUCACCUUUUCUAUAUUUAGGAGCAAAGGCAAUACAAUGGAGAAGACAGUCUUUUAACAAAGGUGCUGGAAUAACUGGACAGCCAUGCACACACACAGAAAAGAAUCGAGACACAGACUUUACAUCUUCACAAAGGUAAUGCAAAAUGGAUCAUACACCUAAAUGUAAAAUACACAAUUAUGAAACUCCUAGAAGAUAACAUAGGAGAAAAUCUGACAACCUUGGGUUUGGCAAUGACUUUUUAGGUACAACACUGAAGGCACCGCCCAUGAAAGAAACAACUGAUAGGCUGAACUCCAUUAAAAUUAAAAGCUUUUGCUCUGCAAAUACAAGAGAAUGAGAACACAAACCAUAAGGAGUUCAUAUGCUGGAAUGAUAGUGACACAGGAGUUUAACACUCCUACAGUAUCCAGAGCCUGGAUCCCUGAGUCAUCAGAUGGAGAAGAACUACUCAGGAGAGUCAUCCAACCUUCAUAGACAGUGGCAUGAGUGGGAAUUAAACAUUGAUUAUGUUAA